CAAGUCAGAGCCUCUCAAGUUAGUCCGGCCGCCCGGUCGCCUUAAGCUGCAGAUGUGAAACCGAGAUAAUAGAAAUAGACACGAGACAGCAAAUGAUGCCAAAGUCUAGCAGCACGCUAGUAAGCGUUUCAGUCUCGAAAGCGUGUUUUUUUGUUUUUUGGGGUUUUUCUUCUAACCUUCAGAGAGGGUUCAAGUCAAGUGCUGCGUGGGAGGACGAGGAGCGUUGCACAUCAGAUGUUAGCGGGAAGAACGCGGCCCGACGGGCCGGUCGAGUUCAACGUGUGAUACUUUUGUAUACUUGGGACCCGUGCAUGGGGAAACAGGGCGGGUUCAAACUGGGGUACACUCUCAACAAACUGGAGCUCCUGUUGUUGCAGACGUAAGUCUCUUAUCUUGGUGCAGAAGAUUUGACUGUGGGAAUUUUCUGAAGUCCAAACCUAAUCACUAUUCCAAUGCAUCACUUCUGUGGGCUCUCACUGCAGCUUUGGGAGGAAGACUGUUACGACCUGGGAGGACAAAUGGCUACUCUAGCAUCACAAAAGGCUCUGAAACACCUUUCAUUAUCCAAAGCACACACGGAGUGCAUGCAUGCUGAUGAGUGGCAGCUCCAUUAGAAUCAUAAAAGCUUGUUUAAUUUCACAGACUGACAAGAGCUGAGCUGGGCUUGCUGCCCUAGCAGGGAAAGCUUAUUAAAUGACCUGCCAGUCACAGUAAUUACAGCACAGACUGUUAUCACCAUUACACCACGAUUCAUCUUUGACUGUGUCUGUCCAUGUGUUGAAGAGGCAAACAGGUGUAAAUGAGCAUGUGUCUGUGUGUAUGCAAGUGCAUGCAUGCAUGCAAGUUUAUUCUUGUGCAUUCGUGUGCCCCAGGUUAACUACGUGUGUCUGUGAUUUUGUAACAUGUUGCUAUAUAUUUGAAUGUUUAUACAGCGAGGUACUGCAAGAGGAGGAGUGUUUCUCCACGCCGGUCACAUGAGGACAACACAUUCCUGCUGGCUCACUCACACUGCAGUGACAAGACACUUAGCUGCAC